GGAAGGGCCAUAGCCCAGUGGUAGAGCAUCUGCUUUGCAUACAGAAGGCCCAGAUUCUGUCCCAGGUGUCUCCA